CUCCUUUGACGUUAGCGGCGGACGGGUGAGUAACACGUGGGUAACCUACCUAUAAGACUGGGAUAACUUCGGGAAACCGGAGCUAAUACCGGAUAAUAUUUCGAACCGCAUGGUUCGAUAGUGAAAGGUGGUUUUGCUAUCACUUAUAGAUGGACCCGCGCCGUAUUAGCUAGUUGGUAAGGUAACGGCUUACCAAGGCGACGAUACGUAGCCGACCUUAGAGGGUGAUCGGCCACACUGGAACUGAGACACGGUCCAGACUCCUACGGGAGGCAGCAGGC
rnacentral:rRNA from 1 species